UACGGAGGGUGCAAGCGUUAUCCGGAUUCACUGGGUUUAAAGGGUGCGUAGGUGGGUUGGUAAGUCAGUGGUGAAAUCUCCGUGCUUAACAUGGAAACUGCCAUUGAUACUACUGAUCUUGAAUUUUCAGGAGGUAAGCGGAAUAUGUCAUGUAGCGGUGAAAAUGCUUAGAUAUGACAUAGAACACCUAUUGCGAAGGCAGCUUACUACGCAUAUAUUGACGCUGAGGCACGAAAGCGUGGGGAUCAAACAGG
rnacentral:rRNA from 1 species